rnacentral:rRNA from 1 species
CCGGGAUUAUUGGGCGUAAGGGCUCGCAGGCGGUUUCUUAAGUCUGAUGUGAAAGCCCCCGGCUCAACCGGGGAGGGUCAUUGGAAACUGGGAAACUUGAGUGCAGAAGAGGAGAGUGGAAUUCCACGUGUAGCGGUGAAAUGCGUAGAGAUGUGGAGGAACACCAGUGGCGAAGGCGACUCUCUGGUCUGUAACUGACGCUGAGGAGCGAAAGCGUGGGGAGCGAACAGGAUUAGAUACCCUGGUAGUCCACGCCGUAAACGAUGAGUGCUAAGUGUUAGGGGGUUUCCGCCCCUUAGUGCUGCAGCUAACGCAUUAAGCACUCCGCCUGGGGAGUACGGUCGCAAGACUGAAACUCAAAGGAAUUGACGGGGGCCCGCACAAGCGGUGGAGCAUGUGGUUUAAUUCGAAGCAACGCGAAGAACCUUACCAGGUCUUGACAUCCUCUGACAACCCUAGAGAUAGGGCUUUCCCUUCGGGGACAGAGUGACAGGUGGUGCAUGGUUGUCGUCAGCUCGGUCUUU